CUGACAAUUAAAAAUAAAUAAAGCAAAUUAGAUCAAAUCAGUUGCCUGGUCUAGUUCCUGAUUUAAUCAGUGCAACCUGCUAGUUUGGUCCAAUACUGAAAAUAAUUACCUGUUGAUGCUGGGAACCCAUCCAGAUAGAUUGCCUGCUUCCGUCAAAGCAAUGCUCCACUUCUCCACAACGUCUAAGUUGUGCUUAAAUUUUUCUUUAACUU
rnacentral:misc_RNA from 1 species